UCGAUGCAACGCGAAGAACCUUACCUGGGCUUGACAUGUACGUAGUAGUGAAGGGAAACCGGAACGAGCCUUCGGGCAGCGUAGACAGGUGCUGCAUGGCUGUCGUCAGCUCGUGUCGUGAGAUGUUGGGUUAAGUCCCGCAACGAGCGCAACCCGUGUUGCUAGUUACAAGUGUCUAGCGAGACUGCCGGUAACAAGCCGGAGGAAGGUGCGGAUGAUGUCAAGUCAGCAUGGCCUAUAUGUCCAGGGCUACACACACGCUACAAUGGCUGGUACAAAGAGAAGCGAAAGGGAGACCUGAAGCGAAUCUCAUCAAAGCCAGUCAUAGUUCGGAUUGCAGGCUGCAACUCGCCUGCAUGAAGUCGGAGUUGCUAGUAACCGCAGGUCAGCAAUACUGCGGUGAAUACGUUCCCGGGCCUUGUACACAC
rnacentral:rRNA from 1 species